GAAUGUGAUCUAUCAGUAUUAAUUAAAAGUUAUUGUAUACCCAUGACCUAAAAACAGGGUCAUAAAUGAUAGUCUUGAGUAGCCAAGCACAUUUUUGAAGCAGAAAAAAAGAAAAAGAUGCGGAAGAAAACAUUGGAAGAGAAGACAAAGUGACAGCGGGUGUUCAGGUCUUAUAAUCUGCAUGAUCAUGAGGAAGAUGGCAAUGUUGUUCACGUUAGGAUGAGUGCAAGAGUUAGUUAUGGAAUCUCAGAGUAAGUAGUAGAGGGAGAUGCAAGUAUAAAAAGCUUGGGCAAAGCUUUGUCCUUUCUAUUUUGACAUUUUGCAUAUUUCUGUUGGAUUUUGGCCUUUCAAAGGCUAUUGUUUAUACAGCAGCUCAUCCUCUUGUCAUUUUGUGUACCAUUUUGAUAAAAUUUCUACUAUAAAUCAAUUUUUGUUAUGGAUUCUUUUCUCUCCCUACUCCCCAAUAUGAUCUCAGAGUAAUUGUUGAAAAUCCUAGUUAUUAUUUAUAUAAACUAAUGGAGUAUUUCUGUCUGUACAAGACUUUCUUUUAUAAAUAAUUCAGUGUUUGAAGCUUAGCAGAAUUUCUUAUCUCCUGGAACAUAAAGUAUAAAACUAUACACAAAAUCCUUGUUUCUUAGAAAACCUACAUAUUAUCCAAGCAAGUAUGGUAAAGCACAGAGAAGAAAGAGCAGAAGCUGAAAUGUUUGGGAUGAAACCACCAGCUGAUGUGAACAUUGCAGACAAGGAUAGUGUAAGGAAACCCACUUGAAAGUUUUGCUCACAGCAGAGGAAAAGCAGUUAAUCUCAGGUUAUGGGUCUGUACCAGAGAGGACAGUGGUAAAAAGACAAACAUGAUUCUUCUGUGACCCAGCGCUGUGCCAGUGGAACAUUGGUUCUAACAACAAAGUUCGUGACAACUUUGGGGAAAGAGGCACCACUAGUUAGGUGGGCUUUAUUUCAGAAUUAGGCAAGAUGAUUUAUUGUUAAACACAUUGGUAGAGCAGGUGCCCUUUUUUUUAUUUUUUCCAAGCAAUAGCUGUUGUAACAAGCUUGUAGUUGGAGAGGCUGAAUUUGAUGUGAGAAGUCACAGUUCUUGUUAGCCUAGCUGAUAAUGUGUCUAGAAUACAGGCAAACUUUUGGGCACAUGGACUUUUUUUGGAUCUGAAAUUGAGCAGUAACUUUCAAGCUAACAUCAUCUAUGAGGUUUUGAGGUAUAGAAAUAAGCAGCUGACAACUGCAAGUUGCUUUUUGUGGUGUAGCUGAACUUAACAUUGAAUAAGAAGGAAAUAAAAAACUUCUGGUGAAUUGAAGUACCACUUACACUUAGGACAAGGGGAAUGGUUUUAAACUGAGACAGGAGAGGUUUAGGUUAGAUAUUAGGAGGAAGUUUUUCACACAGAGGGUGGUGAGGCACUGGAACAGGCUGCCCAAGGAGGCUGUGGAUGCCCCAUCCCUGGAGGCAUUCAAGGCCAGGCUGGAUGUGGCUCUGGGCAGCCUGGUCUGCUGGUUGGCGACCCUGCACAUAGCAGGGGGGGU